rnacentral:rRNA from 1 species
UACGGGGGGGGUAAGCGUUGUUCGGAAUUACUGGGCGUAAAGGGCGCGUAGGCGGCCUUCUAAGUCGAACGUGAAAUCCCCGGGCUCAACCCGGGAACUGCGUCCGAGACUGAAAGGCUCGAAUCCGGGAGAGGGAUGUGGAAUUCCAGGUGUAGCGGUGAAAUGCGUAGAUAUCUGGAGGAACAUCGGUGGCGAAGGCGGCAUCCUGGACCGGUAUUGACGCUGAGGCGCGAAAGCCAGGGGAGCAAACGGG